rnacentral:misc_RNA from 1 species
AGCAGCCGCGGUAAUUCCAGCUCCAAUAGCGUAUAUUAAAGUUGUUGCAGUUAAAAAGCUCGUAGUUGAAUUUCGGGAUUGACGUGAUGGUCGUGCCUUACGGGGUAUGAACUGUUGCUGUUGAUUUCUCACCUUCUGGAGAAACUUGAUGUCCUUAAUUGGGUGUCUUGCGGAUCCAGGACCUUUACCUUGAAAAAAAUUUAGAGUGUUUAAAGCAGGCAUUUUGCUCGAAUACAUUAGCAUGGAAUAAUAGAAUAGGACGGCAUGGUUCUAUUUUGUUGGUUUCUAGGAUCACCGUAAUGAUUAAUAGGGAUAGUUGGGGGCAUUAGUAUUCAAUUGUCAGAGGUGAAAUUCUUGGAUUUAUUGGAAGACUAACUACUGCGAAAGCAUUUGCCAAGGAUGUUUUCAUUAAUCAAGAACGAAAGUUAGGGGGAUCAAGACGAUCAGAUACCGUCGUAGUCUUAACCAUAAACUAUGCCGACUAGGAAUCAGACGAUGUUAAUUUUUUAAUGACUCGUUU